AUUUAGUGUUAGGGUAAAAGACCCCCGAAGCGGGGAGACCCUCACUCAAGUCUCGGGAUGACGUGACCCCCCAAGAAUUCACGAGAGACU
rnacentral:pre_miRNA from 14 species